CCUACGGGCGGCAGCAGUGAGGAAUAUUGGUCAAUGGCCGGAAGGCUGAACCAGCCAUGCCGCGUGAAGGUCAGUGCCCUAUGGGCGUUAAACUUCUUUUGUGCGGGAGCAAUAAUGGUCACGUGUGGCCAGACGAGAGUACCGUACGAAUAAGCAUCGGCUAACUCCGUGCCAGCAGCCGCGGUAAUACGGGGGAUGCAAGCGUUAUCCGGAGUUAUUGGGUUUAAAGGGUGCGUAGGCGGUGAGGUAAGGUAGCGGUGAAAUGCCCCCGCUCAACGGGGGGAAGUGCCAUUGAUCCUGCCUGGCUGGAAUGCGGAUGCGGUGGGAGGAAGGUGUGGUGUAGCGGUGAAAUGCGUAGAUAUUAGGAGGAACACCAGUGGCGAAGGCGGCUUACUGGACUGUAACUGACGUUGAGGCUCGAAAGCGUGGGGAGCAAACAGGAUUAGAUACCCCUGUAGUC
rnacentral:rRNA from 1 species